UACGAAGGGGGCUAGCGUUGUUCGGAAUUACUGGGCGUAAAGGGCGCGUAGGCGGCCUGUUAAGUCGAACGUGAAAUCCCCGGGCUCAACCCGGGAACUGCGUCCGAAACUGGCAGGCUCGAAUCCGGGAGAGGGAUGCGGAAUUCCAGGUGUAGCGGUGAAAUGCGUAGAUAUCUGGAGGAACAUCGGUGGCGAAGGCGGCAUCCUGGACCGGUAUUGACGCUGAGGCGCGAAAGCCAGGGGAGCAAACGGG
rnacentral:rRNA from 1 species